UGAACGCUGGCGGCGUGCUUAACACAUGCAAGUCGAACGAAGCACUUUUACAGAUUUCUUCGGAUUGAAGUGAUAGUGACUGAGUGGCGGACGGGUGAGUAACGCGUGGGUAACCUGCCUCACACAGGGGGAUAACAGUUGGAAACGGCUGCUAAUACCGCAUAAGCGCACAGUGCCGCAUGGUACGGUGUGAAAAACUCCGGUGGUGUGAGAUGGCCUCGCGUCUGAUUAGCUAGUUGGUGAGGUAACGGCCCACCAAGGCGACGAUCAGUAGCCGGACUGAGAGGUUGACCGGCCACAUUGGGACUGAGACACGGCCCAGACUCCUACGGGAGGCAGCAGUGGGGAAUAUUGCACAAUGGGGGAAACCCUGAUGCAGCAACGCCGCGUGAGUGAUGACGGCCUUCGGGUUGUAAAGCUCUGUCUUCAGGGACGAUAAUGACGGUACCUGAGGAGGAAGCCACGGCUAACUACGUG
rnacentral:rRNA from 1 species